rnacentral:rRNA from 1 species
UACGUAGGGGGCGAGCGUUGUCCGGAUUUACUGGGCGUAAAGGGCAUGCAGGCGGUCCGACACGUUUUGUGUGACAGCGGGUGGCUUAACUACCCGAGGAUACGAAAGACGGUAGGACUUGAGGACUCGAGAGGGACACGGAAUUCCGGGUGGAGUGGUGAAAUGCGUAGAGAUCCGGAGGAACACCGAAGGCGAAGGCAGUGUCCUGGCGAGUGACUGACGCUGAGGUGCGAAAGCCAGGGGAGCGAACGGG